rnacentral:lncRNA from 1 species
UGGGCUGUUUUUGGGCGGUUUUGGGCUGUUUUUGGAGCUGUUUGGGGGCGAUUUUGGUAUAAUUUGGGGCGUUUUGGGGUGGUUUUGGGGCUGGUUUUGGGUGUUUUGGGGUUUUUUUGGUUGUUUUUGGGGUGGUUUUGGGACAUUUUGGGGUUUUUUUGGUUGUUUUUGGGGUGUUUUUGGGGUGUUUUUGGGCAGUUCUGGGGUGGUUUUGUGCUGUUUUGGGGUUUGCUGGGGGACGCCUUCCUGCACCUCAUCCCCCACGCCCUGGGUGCGAUUUUGGGGCGUUUUGGGGCGUUUUGGGGUGUUUUGGGGUUUUUUUGGGUUUUUUUUGGCUGUUUUUGGGGUGUUUUUGGGGCUGUUUUGGGGUGUUUCUGGGGUGGUUUUGGAGCUGUUUGGGGACGAUUUUGUUCUGAUUUGGGGUGGUCUGGGACAUUUUGGGGUGUUUGGGGUUGGUUUUGGGUCAUUUUGGGUCAUUUUGGGUCAUUUUGGGGUGUUUUCUUGGUUGUUUUUUGGUUGUUUUUGGGCUGUUUUUGGGCUGUUUUUGGGGCUGUAUUUGGGCAGUUUUGGGGUGGUUUUGGGGACAUUUUGGGGAGGUUUUUGGGGUGUUUUUUUGGGGUGGUUUUGGGGCUGUUUUGGGGUUUGCUGGGGGACGCCUUCCUGCACCUCAUCCCCCACGCCCUGGGUGCGAUUUGGGGCGUUUUGGGGCUUUUUGGGGCUUUUUGGGGUGUUUUGGGGUGUUUUUGGGCUGGUUUUGGGGUGUUUUUGGGGCUGUAUUUGGGCAGUUUUGGGGUGUUUUUGGGGCUGUUUUGGGGUUUGCUGGGGGACGCCUUCCUGCACCUCAUCCCCCACGCCCUGGGUGCGAUUUUGGGGCGGUUUGGGUGUUUUUGGGGUGUUUUAGGUCAUUUUGGGGAGUUUUGGGUGGUUUUGGGGUGUUUUUGGGCUGUUUUUGGGCAGUUUUGGGGUGGUUUUGGGCCUGUUUGGGGUUGAUUUUGGUGUGAUUUGGGGUGUUUUGGGGUGGUUUUGGGACAUUUUGGGCUGGUUUUGGGUGUUUUGGAGCAUUUUGGGGUGUUUUGGGGUGUUUUGGGUCAUUUUGGGGAGUUUUGGGUGUUUUUGGGGUGUUUCUGGGGCUGUAUU